CUGCUAUCGGAUUGAUACUAAGCCAUGCGAGUCUUUGUAGUAAUACAAGGCAGACGGCUCAGUAACACGUAGUCAACCUACCCUAUGGACAAGAAUAAUCUCGGGAAACUGGGCAUAAUUCUUGAUAGAUCAUAAUGCCUGGAAUGGUUUAUGGUUAAAAUGAUUCGUCGCCAUAGGAUGGGACUGCGGCCUAUCAGCUUGUUGGUGAGGUAAUGGCCCACCAAGGCGAUUACAGGUACGGGCUCUGAGAGGAGAAGCCCGGAGAUGGGUACUGAGACACGGACCCAGGCCCUAUGGGGCGCAGCAGGCGAGAAAACUUUGCAAUGUGCGAAAGCACGACAAGGUUAAUCCGAGUGAUUUCUGCUAAAGAAAUCUUUUGCCAGUCGUAAAACCGCUGGUGAAUAAGGGGUGGGCAAGUUCUGGUGUCAGCCGCCGCGGUAAAACCAGCACCUCAAGUGGUCAGGAUGAUUAUUGGGCCUAAAGCAUCCGUAGCCUGCUUUGUAAGUUUUCGGUUAAAUCCAUGUGCUCAACGCAUGGGCUGCCGAAAAUACUGCAUAGCUAGGGAGUGGGAGAGGUAGACGGUACUCAGUAGGUAGGGGUAAAAUCCUUUGAUCUAUUGAUGACCACCUGUGGCGAAGGCGGUCUACCAGAACACGUUCGACGGUGAGGGAUGAAAGCUGGGGGAGCAAACCGGAUUAGAUACCCGGGUAGUCCCAGCUGUAAACGAUGCAGACUCGAUGAUGCAUUGGCAUAAUAGCCAUUGCAGUGUCGCAGGGAAGCCGUUAAGUCUGCCGCCUGGGAAGUACGUACGCAAGUAUGAAACUUAAAGGAAUUGGCGGGG
rnacentral:rRNA from 1 species